rnacentral:misc_RNA from 1 species
GAUGAAGAACGCAGCGAAAUGCGAUAAGUAGUGUGAAUUGCAGAAUUCAGUGAAUCAUCGAAUCUUUGAACGCACAUUGCGCCCUUUGGUAUUCCUUAGGGCAUGCCUGUUCGAGCGUCAUUUGAAACCUCAAGCUCAGCUUGGUGUUGGGUGUCUGUCCCCGCCUCACCGCGGGGACUCGCCUCAAAAUCAUUGGCGGCCGGUACGUUGGCUUCGAGCGCAGCAGAAACGCGAACUCGAGGCCCGGCGGAUCGGCGACCAGAAGUCACUUCUUCACAGUUUGAUCUCGGAUCAGGUAGGGAUACCCGCUGAACUUAAGCAUAUCAAUAAGCGGAGGA